CUUGUCUGGCCCAGGGUUGAGGAGAGCGAGGGUGACGUGACGCCCCGGGAAGUGAUUGUCAUGUUCAACGACUCCCACGCGAACUUUGCGUGAGAGAGAGAGAGAGAGAGAGAGAGAGAGAGAGAGAGAGAGAGAGAGAGAGAGAGAGAGAGAGAGAGAGAGAGAGAGAGAGAGAGAGAGGAAAAC